rnacentral:tRNA from 2 species
GAGCUAGAACGGAAUAAUGAGUACUGCUAAUUCCUCAUCACCGAGGUUCAAUUCCUCGGCUAACUCA